AAACACAAGAGAGCCAAUGCGGAUGAAUACAGAGAAUGUAUGAACAUUCUCACAAAAAUUAGGUUUAUGAUGAGGUCCAAAAUCUUGUGACAGAGUUGACAGUUCUGGUAACUUAUAUUCAAUUUAUUCAUGAAUAGUAGUUAUAAUUUUCCUAUGAUAGAUGGUGAAUGGCAGAUUUAGGGAUCGAAUUUGAUAAAUACAGCCUAGAAUAUUUAUUCCCUGAGGUAAGUACUUAAAGUAAAUUAAAUUCAACAAUGAAAAAGGUGUUUAAAGGGGAACUGCAAGCUAAAUACAACCAGGACUCGUAUUUAGAUGUAAAAACAAAAAAAUACGCUUACUGUAGGUGUUUUCGCGCGGUUAUAAUUCGUUUUCGAGAAAUUCGACGUUUCGCCGCCAUCUUGGAUGUUUUGCUCGUUAGCGCAUAAACUGUCAGCGGUCGCUUUUGUGACGUACUGUAUGAACAAGAUGGCGUGGUCUACGUUGCUCUUUGGCAUUACCGCUGAAACUUUGUUGCAGCCAUUUGUUUUCGUCUCAUUUCACGUUGCAUCAAACAACCUCACGUUGAAUCAUUCAAGCUCGAAACUAUGCAAGAGCAAGCAUAUCACAACCAAAUCACAAUGGAUCUGAGGAAUCGGUGUACAUAGUGAUGCUCUAAAAAUGAAGAAUCAAGCUAGUGACUUAAAAUACUAUUGUACAAACAGUCCAUUUUAUUUGUUCAUUUUGGUGGCAGUCACAAUGUGAUGUGCUGCUUAUCAUUUUCUGGAAUGUGGUUGAUGACUGCAUUCCCCACCUCUGGAUGAUAAAAGUCCAAUCAAAUGUUACCAAAUGUUACCAGUAUAUGAGAAUGUUUGAAUGCAAGGAUUACACUGAUGAAGAACCUAAAAAGAAUAACUUCAUGCUUCACACCUGCUAUAUAUGUGAGUCUACAUUCAUUUUGACUAUGUGGAAUAUACUGAGUUGUUUCAAUCAAAUUGCAAAUAUCUGAAUCUAGGGUUAUGGGUCAGUGUUAGACUUUUACUUGAACACAAUCAAUAUCAAUCAUUAAUAGAUUGGGCAAAAAGAUCAACCCUUUUAGUUUUCUAUGGACAGAAGCAUGUUGGCACCACACACUGCCAAUAUCUGAACUAGUUUUUAUAUGAUUUUGUAUAGUGUACCCCUUGCCUGUAGCCUGGAGUGUGUCAAUGAGGGGGAGGUGGUUGUUGGAUUGGGGCUGCAAUUCCCUUGGAAAUGUACUAAUGCUCAGCAGAAAUCUGAUAUUAAUUUUUUUGUGGAACCAAUAAAUGGCAGAAAUAGA